UCAAAACAGCGGCCUUCGGGCCUCGCUGCACCCUUGUCUUUUGCGCACCGUAUUGUUUCCUCGGCGGGCUUGCCUGCCGGUUGGACAUCAUAAAACCUCUUUGUAGUUGCAAUCAGCGUCAGAAAAACAAUAAUUAUA
rnacentral:misc_RNA from 1 species